GACCUGACUGCUAUCGGAUUGAUACUAAGCCAUGCGAGUCUUUGCAGUAAUGCAAGGCAUACGGCUCAGUAACACGUAGUCAACUUACCCUAUGGACGAGGAUAAUCUCGGGAAACUGAGCAUAAUACUCGAUAGAUCAUAAUGCCUGGAAUGGUUUAUGGUUGAAACGAUUCGUCGCCAUAGGAUAGGACCGCGGCCUAUCAGCUUGUUGGUGAGGUAAUGGCCCACCAAGGCGAUUACAGGUACGGGCUCUGAGAGGAGAAGCCCGGAGAUGGGUACUGAGACAAGGACCCAGGCCCUAUGGGGCGCAGCAGGCGAGAAAACUUUGCAAUGUGCGAAAGCACGACAAGGUUAAUCCGAGUGAUUUCUGCUAAAGAAAUCUUUUGCAAGUCAUAAAACCACUAGUGAAUAAGGGGUGGGCAAGUUCUGGUGUCAGCCGCCGCGGUAAAACCAGCACCUCAAGUGGUCAGGAGGAUUAUUGGGCCUAAAGCAUCCGUAGCCGGCUCUGUAAGUUUUCGGUUAAAUCCAUGUGCUCAACGCAUGGGCUGUCGAAAAUACUGCAUAGCUAGGGAGUGGGAGAAGUAGACGGUACUCGGUAGGAAGGGGGUAAAAUCCUUUGAUCUAUCGAUGACCACCUGUGGCGAAGGCGGUCUACCAGAACACGUUCGACGGUGAGGGAUGAAAGCUGGGGGAGCAAACCGGAUUAGAUACCCGGGUAGUCCCAGCUGUAAACGAUGCAGACUCGAUGAUGCAUUGGCAUAUAGCCAGUGCAGUGUCGCAGGGAAGCCGUUAAGUCUGCCGCCUGGGAAGUACGUACGCAAGUAUGAAACUUAAAGGAAUUGGCGGGGGAGCACCACAAGGGGUGAAGCCUGCGGUUCAAUUGGAUUCAACGC
rnacentral:rRNA from 1 species